rnacentral:rRNA from 1 species
UACGUAGGGGGCAAGCGUUGUCCGGAAUUAUUGGGCGUAAAGAGCGUGUAGGCGGUCCGGUAAGUCGGCUGUGAAAUUUCGGGGCUCAACCCCGAACUUGCAGUGGGUACGGGCAGACUAGAGUGUGGUAGGGGAGACUGGAAUUCCUGGUGUAGCGGUGAAAUGCGCAGAUAUCAGGAGGAACACCGAUGGCGAAGGCAGGUCUCUGGGGCCAUAACUGACGCUGAGAAGCGAAAAGCCAUGGGGGAGCGAACAGG